rnacentral:rRNA from 1 species
GAUGAACGCUGGCGGCGUGCCUAAUACAUGCAAGUCGAGCGAACAGACGAGGAGCUUGCUCCUCUGACGUUAGCGGCGGACGGGUGAUUAACACGUGGAUAACCUACCUAUAAGACUGGGAUAACUUCGGGAAACCGGAGCUAAUACCGGAUAAUAUAUUGAACCGCAUGGUUCACUAGUGAAAGACGGUUUUGCUGUCACUUAUAGAUGGAUCCGCGCCGCAUUAGCUAGUUGGUAAGGUAACGGCUUACCAAGGCGACGAUGCGUAGCCGACCUGAGAGGGUGAUCGGCCACACUGGAACUGAGACGCGGUCCAGACUCCUACGGGAGGCAGCAGUAGGGAAUCUUCCGCAAUGGGCGAAAGCCUGACGGAGCAACGCCGCGUGAGUGAUGAAGGUCUUCGGAUCGUAAAACUCUGUUAUUAGGGAAGAACAAAUGUGUAAGUAACUAUGCACGUCUUGACGGUACCUAAUCAGAAAGCCACGGCUAACUACGUG